GGGAAUGAUGAUUUCACAGACUAGAGUCUCUGACACUGGUUCUGAUGUCAAAAAUAAUGUCUGACUC
ensembl:snoRNA small nucleolar RNA, C/D box 52